UUGCAUUUAGAGGGUGAAUAGAAGAAGUCAGCAAACAGCAACAAAGGUAGAUUGUUCAUAUGUGCAUACGAGUGUCCCAAUAUGGCAAAUACCCAGCGAACUGACAAAAACCAACCCAUCCAAUAAUUUUUUGGAAAGAAUUCUCCACGAUGACAAGCAAUCCAAUCACAUGCAGAAGAUUAGUCCAAGAUUUGCUGUGAGGCUUAAUAACACUUGAUCAUCCUGCCUGGAAACUAAGUUUGGGUUUGCCCUUU
rnacentral:misc_RNA from 1 species